ensembl:snRNA U6 U6 spliceosomal RNA
GUGCUCGCUUUGGCAGAACAUAUACCGGUACUAAAAUUGGAAUGAAACAGAGAAGAUUAGCAAGGCCCCUGCUCGGGGAUUACAUGCUAAUUUGUGAAGUGUUCCAUAUUUUU